rnacentral:rRNA from 1 species
UACGGGGGGGGUAAGCGUUGUUCGGAAUUACUGGGCGUAAAGGGCUCGUAGGCGGCCUCGCAAGUCAGGUGUGAAAUCCCAGGGCUUAACCCUGGAACUGCAUCUGAUACUGCUUGGCUUGAAUCUCGGAGAGGGUGGUGGAAUUCCUGGUGUAGAGGUGAAAUUCGUAGAUAUCAGGAGGAACACCGGUGGCGAAGGCGACCACCUGGACGAUGAUUGACGCUGAGGCGCGAAAGCGUGGGAAGCAAACAGG